rnacentral:lncRNA from 1 species
GUUCUUUGGCUCUUGUGUGAGUGGAUGGUGACACCAGGCCAGCUGGGGAUUCUUCCCAGGCUGGGCUCACAGGCUGGGGCUGGGCACACGGAGCAGCUGCGGGAAAAGGAUCUGGACACCAGCCCCCCAGCGUGUCACCGGCAGGAAGGUGAGGUGGGAACAGAGUGACGUCCAUGCAUGUUCAGAGACAAGGUUUCCCUACGUUGCCCAGACUGGUCUUGAACUCCUAGCCUCAAGCAGUCCUUCUGCCUCAGCCUCCCAAUGUGCUGGGAUUACAGGCAUGAGCCACUGCACUUGACCAAGGGACUAAGCCAGUGGAUCACAAACAUCCUGGAGAGCAGUGACUCUGUGAUUCCAUCACAAGAAUAUGAAGGACUGAGAAGAUCUCCAGCUCUGCCCAUUGCACCUUCCCAUUGAGAAGCAGCAUGGCACCCUGGUGGCAGGGGCUGAUACUCAGCCGGGCCAGGGUGCUCUCCUGUUAACCAUAACCAAGCUCACAGGACAUGGGAUGAGCCCACUGUGUGACACAGGGAGCGGGACACAGUCUGUUAAGUCUUGCACAGCCAUGCUCUGCCACGCAGGCAGGCCUUUCCUUGGCCUCCCUCUCCCUGUUCGUGCUCAUGUGAACAUCCACCUACGUGGAUAGACUGGGCUUUGGUUCAUUAUUGCUCUGUGAAUUCCUCGAACUUCCGCAUCUGCCCAACCUCCCCCACCCCAUUGUUUUCAUUGUGUUUCACCAAAUGGAAAUUCUAGAGUAAGCAUAUAGAAUCUUCAACUCGGAGGCACCAGUCUCUCUCACUUGAGGAAAGAAUGCGAAGGAAGGAAUGGCCUGACUUCCUCAUGUGUGCCCUGUUUCUCGGUAGGCACCAUGUGGGGGCUGCCACACAUGUGCCGAAGCUUUGGGAACGUUCCGUUUAAAUACCAAUUUCGAUGCCAAUGCCUAACAUGGAGCACAAAUAUCCAGGUACCUCUCUGAUUUCUUCUCUUAUGCUUCAAACUCUUUGAGAACAGAAAUUUUUCUCAUUUGUGUUUGUAUCAUCUGUAGUAUUUAGCAAUGCCUUGCCUAUAGUAGGUAGGUGCUUAAUGACUAUUGUAUUCCAUUAGGGCCUAUUCAGUGAUGGUUUAAGUUUAGAAAAGAGUUUCCCUUGCAUUCAGUUUGCCAGUUUUUGAUCAGCAUCAUUAAAGGAGAACUAGCUUUACCUCUUUAAUAAUUUGUUUAAUUCUAAAUCAGUAAAAUUUUUGUGGUAUGCUGACGACAUGGCCUAAGCUAUUGCAGGAGGUUGAGAUAUUCAAGGUGAUAGAAAAAUAUCUAAGACCAAAUUCCUGUCCUGAAGAAGCUCACAUAGUUGUGGGAGCCAUAGAUAAGAAAGAAGCAUUUACGAAGCACAUCAAAAGUGUCUCAGAAGAGCUGUAUACUUGGCCAUGGGGGCAGCAGGUAAGAAGAGGAGGGAAGGGAAGAGGAGGGGAGGGAAGAGUAAGAGAGGGGAGGGAAAAGGAGGGAAGGGGAGCAGAGGAGAAGACUCCCGUAAAUCACAAUAUCCAAAUUUGGCAACUAUUUUGUUCUGAUUUUAUUGGUUCUUCACCCAAAACAUAUUGCCUAAGACACCCCUUGAUUCAACCUUCCUCCCUCUUAAUUUCCAGAAAUAUGAAGUUGUCAGUAAGGUCAGCCAAAAAUCACGUUUGACAUGUGGUGGAAAUUCUGGGUGUCCUUUGUAGAUGAAACUCAUAUAAGCAAAAAUUCUAGUGGCAUUUUGGUGGGAGAAGGAAGAAAGGGAAGAGUGAGGUUAAGGAAAUAUUUCCAAACGUAUUAAUUGAACGUGUACAGGUAUAACAACACCUCCAACACUGUCCUCUUCUAGUCUGACUCCUGGGGGGAAAGGGGGAGUGAGACUAGAAAGGGUUGUCAGGGUGGAACACAGGGCUGGAAGUUGGAAGGCAUCCCUGGGUGCUCACCUUUCAGCUCCCGCUCAAGCAUCCCCUCAGCCUGCACACCUCCAGGACUUGCUGCUUUCUGUGCUGUUCUCAACACCAGGGUCCUUUCCUCCAGAAGUGGGACCUCUUAAGUGUGAGAAAAGAACUUGUUCUUUUAAGAUGGUACCUGAAUGACUUUUGAAAUUUAAUUAGAACCUGUAGUUUUUCAAAGCCUCCUGUUAUAGACCGAAUGGUACCCUCCUACAUUCAUAUACCGAAGCCCUGACCCUGGCGUGGCUGCAUUUGGAGAUAGGGUCUCUAAGGAGGUGAUUGAGGUUAAAUGAAACCAUAAGAAUGGAGCUCCAAUCCAGUAGUGCUGGUGUCCUUGCAAAGAAGAGGAAGAGGCAUCAGAGAUGCACAAGCAUGGAGAAAAGGCCAUGUGAGGACACAGCAAGAAGGUGGCUGUCUGCAAACCUGGAAGAGUGUCCUCACUAGAAGCCAUCCAUGCUAGCACCUUGAACUCCAGAACCAUGAGAAAAUAAAUUUCUGUUUUUAAGCCACCCAA